GGGGAAUAUUGCACAAUGGGCGAAAGCCUGAUGCAGCGACGCCGCGUGAGGGAUGACGGCCUUCGGAUUGUAAACCACUGUCGCGAGGGACGAAAAUCUGACGGUACCUCGAAAGGAAGCACCGGCUAACUCUGUGCCAGCAGCCGCGGUAAUACAGAGGGUGCGAGCGUUGUCCGGAAUCACUGGGCGUAAAGGGCGCGUAGGCGGCCGGGUGAGUAGGGGGUGAAAUCCCACAGCUCAACUGUGGGGCUGCCUUCUAGACUGCUUGGCUCGAGCACGGUAGAGGCUGGUGGAAUUCCCGGUGUAGCGGUGGAAUGCGUAGAGAUCGGGAAGAACAUCGGUGGCGAAGGCGGCCAGCUGGGCCGUUGCUGACGCUGAGGCGCGAAAGCGUGGGGAGCAAA
rnacentral:rRNA from 1 species